AACGGCCAUCAUACCAUGUUGAAUACGAUGGUUCUCGUCCGAUCACCGAAGUUAAGCAAUAUCGUGCGUGGUUAGUACCUGGAUGGGUGACCAAUGAAGAUUCAAUGAGAAGGGUCCUUC
rnacentral:rRNA from 1 species